CCUACGGGAGGCAGCAGUGAGGAAUAUUGGUCAAUGGACGGAAGUCUGAACCAGCCAAGUAGCGUGAAGGAUGACUGCCCUAUGGGUUGUAAACUUCUUUUAUAAAAGAAUAAAGUGAGUCACGUGUACCUUUUUGUAUGUACUUUAUGAAUAAGGAUCGGCUAACUCCGUGCCAGCAGCCGCGGUAAUACGGAGGAUCCGAGCGUUAUCCGGAUUUAUUGGGUUUAAAGGGAGCGUAGAUGGGUUGGUAAGUCAGUGGUGAAAGGUGGCGGCUUAACCGUAUACUUGCAAUUGAUACUGGCAGUCUGGAGAGCAGUUGAGGCAGGCGGAAUGAGUGGUGUAGCGGUGAAAUGCUUAGAUAUCACGAAGAACUCCGAUUGCGAAGGCAGCUUACUAAACUGCAACUGACACUGAUGCUCGAAAGCGUGGGUAGCAAACAGGAUUAGAUACCCGAGUAGUC
rnacentral:rRNA from 1 species